UACGUAGGGGGCAAGCGUUGUCCGGAAUCAUUGGGCGUAAAGAGCGUGUAGGUGGCUCGGUAAGUCCGCUGUAAAAGUCCAGGGCUCAACCCUGGAAAGCCGGUGGAAACUGUCGAGCUAGAGUCCGGAAGAGGCGAGUGGAAUUCCUGGUGUAGCGGUGAAAUGCGCAGAUAUCAGGAGGAACACCAAUGGCGAAGGCCGCUCGCUGGGACGGUACUGACACUGAGACGCGAAAGCGUGGGGAGCAAACAGG
rnacentral:rRNA from 1 species